UGUGCUUGGUUGGAGACACUACCGCUGUCAGCGUCUGCUCCCUGCUACUUCAGUGUUUGUUCAAUGUAAGAUUUAAAAAAAAAAAAAAAAGUUGGGGGUUGAGGGAGGAGGCAGAGAGGCGGGGGCUUGGGGGAGGAAAGCAGGAAGGAAGUUGUGAGCCUGUCUGGGGUUGAACUCAGCGGAACAAGUUUUUCUUUUCUUCUUUUUUUUUUUUUUUUCUAUUGCUUGGCAAACCGAGGGAGGGAAACACUUAAAAAAAAAGUUUCCAUUGUUAGCUAACAAAAAAAAAAAAAAAAAAAAAAAAGACUUUAACUUCUGCGGGUUAAAGAUAUACGAUUUAUUUUCCAUCCCUCGACCAAGGUUUGCUGGUGUCUAGUUUUAUGAAGCUACGUUUGAAAACUGUUUUUAAUAAAAUUUUGAGUGUGCUAAACAAAGCUGCUGGGGGGGGGAUUUUUCUAGCAUCGAAAGAGGGGUAAUAUUCUGCCUAAGCAGAGGGUGUACUUGUACUACAAUAGGCAACUUUUUACAAGGUAUAUUGCAUAUAUUGCAGGGCAUUUCCUUGCACAGUUUUAGGUUUUAAUGCACCAUGGUAGAAUUUUGGAAGACUGGUUGGACUGUGAGCUGCUGAGUGUCUUGUAGGCUAGAUGUGUGAAGGAGCUCUGCAUUAAGCAGUUAUCUAUAAACGCACACAGAGGCUGUGCUGUUCGCGUAUUUUUGCACUCAACUCUCAAAAAGUUAUUUUAAGAAAAAGCAUAGUCCUGGGGCUGAGGCCCGAUCAAUGUCUUCAACCACUUGCUCAGUCUCCUGUGAAUUUACUCCUGCGUUUUCAAGGGUUCUACUCUACCCUCAAAUAAAGGGGGGGGGGCACCAGGCAACACUGGAGGGCGGGGGACACUCCCUGCCCCCAUACACACACACUUAAGCCCCACCCGGCACUGCAAGCCUGUUUUGCAUAAUUCCCUAAAUCUUAAACUCUAGCGUUUAGUGGAAACAGGGAACACAGCUGCGAGGUUUAGGAGAUUUAAGAAUCCUAAGCUUGUAUCCGCCCAUAUAUCCUGAUUAGCCAAACCUCGGAUGGAAAACCUGACCGCCUGUAGCAAGCAGACAGCUUACUUGUUUAUGUAACAAUACCGUUGAAGUGAGCAAAGCAACCUGCAGCUUGGUCAGGAAAAGACUCAAGCAAAUUUGAAACCAAGAGCCCUUCCAGCCAAGAAUUCCUGGAAUCGGACAAGUCCUUUCUGGUUUUGUUUUGUUUUGUUUUUGUUUUAUUUUUUAUUUUUUUUAACAUACCCUGGAAGGCUUGAAUCUGGUUUCCCUCUCACCCUCAAUGGGGCUGAAUAAAGAUGCCUGUCCUGUGUGUGUUCUAGUAUUACCGUGAGACAAAGAAGCCACCUCUAUCUAGACUCCCUCCUUUGGUCCCUAGUGGCAAGAAGAGGAGUUACUCAAGCUAUGAAGUCUAAUCUGAGAGGUGAUAAAUGCCUCAGUAGAAGCAACUGAAGAGCCUAGCAAAGCUCCCACAAAUCUCUACCUUGCCGGCCCCUGAGAAGCUGUUCCUAGUUGCUAUUGUCUCUUGUAGGUGAGUCAGUCAACCUUCCCUAGUGAGAAAUGAAGGCUGCUGGAACAUGCCCUUAGUCUCUGAGUAAUCCUUGGCCAGUCAGCUGCUGUCAGACAGGACAUGGAGAUGGAACUUCUGGCUUGGAUGUAAGGGAGACAAGACGAUAGUCCUAACCAUGACACUGAGAGGGUUUGGCAGGGUUUAAGUCCCCAGAUUGGAAGUCAGCACAGCAGGCUUUAUAUCCUACCAUAGAAUCUAGCUGGCUCCCACAACGUAAAGCAAAAGUUAACACUUCGACGUAGUGUUUGCUAUUUCCAGACACUGGUUUAGGCACAUUUUGAAUAUGUAUACAGGACUAAGGACAUAGUAUGGGUAACAGAAUGCCUUCCUAACAUGCACCAUGCCCUGUGAUUGGUCCUCAGCACCGCACAAGCCAGGCUUGUUGGCCUAGUGACACGAACCUGUAAUCCAGCACUGUAGUGGUGGAGGCAGGAGGAUGAGAAGUUCAAAGUCACUAUUAGCUACAUCAAGAGUUUGAAAGCAUCUUAGGCUAUCUGAGAUCCUGUCUCAGCAAUCCCUCCUUACCUCUAACACACGCACACACACACACACACACACACACACACACACACACACACAAGAGAAAAACAAUUUGCAUAUUGUCAACCUUAUAACAACACUGUCAGGUAGGCGUUGUUACAGGCUUCAUUUACACUAGAAAUUAAAAUUCAAAGAGGCAGCUCUCUGCUCCUCCCUGUUCCAGAGACAGUGCAUCUUCUUGUGCAGUGCCAGCCUCGUCCCGUAGACAAAAUGGUGAAGGCCGGUGUGAACGGAUUUGGCCAUAUUGGGCGCCUGGUCACGAGGGUUGCCAUCUGCUCUCUACAUGGCAAAGUGGAGAUUGUUGCCAUCAACGACCCCUUCAUUGACCUCGACUACAUGGUCUACAUGUUCCAGUAUGACUCCACCCACAGUAAAUUCAACGGCACAGUCAAGGCUGAAAAUGGGAAGCUUGUCAUCAACGGGAAGCCCAUCACCAUCUUCCAGGAGCGAGACUGCCCUCCCCCCAACAUCAAAUGGGAUGAGGCCAGUGCUGAGUAUGUCGUGGAGUCUACUGGUGUCUUCACCACCAUGGAGAAGGCGGGGGCCCACUUGAAGGGUGGAGCCAAAAGGGUCAUCAUCUCCGUCCGUUCUGCCGAUGCUCCCAUGUUUGUGAUGGGUGUGAACCACGAGAAAUAUGACAACUCACUCAAGAUUGUCAGCAAUGCAUCCUGCACCACCAAUUGCUUAGCCCCCCUGGCCAAGGUCAUCCAUGACAACUUUGGCAUUGUAGAAGGGCUCAUGACCACAGUCCAUGCCAUCACUGCCACCCAGAAGACUGUGGAUGGCCCCUCUGGAAAGCUGUGGCGUGAUGGUCGUGGGGCUACCCAGAACAUCAUCCCUGCAUCCACUGGUGCUGCCAAGGCUGUGGGCAAAGUCAUCCCAGAGCUGAACGGGAAGCUCACUGGCAUGGCCUUCCGUGUUCCUAACCCCAAUGUGUCCAUCGUGGAUCUGACAUGCCGCCUGGAGAAACCUGCCAAGUAUGAUGACAUCAAGAAGGUGGUGAAGCAGGCAUCUGAGGGCCCACAGAAGGGCAUCCUGGGCUACACUGAGGACCAGGUUGCCUCCUGUGACUUCAACAGCAACUCCCACUCUUCCACCUUCGAUGCCGGGGCUGGCAUUGCUCUCAAUGACAACUUUGUCAAGCUCAUUUCCUGGUAUGACAAUGAAUAUGGCUACAGCAACAGGGUGGUGGACCUCAUGGCCUACAUGGCCUCCAAGGAGUAAGAAACCCUGGAUAACCCACCCGAGCAAGGACACUGAGAGCAAGAGAGAGGCCUUCAGUUGGUGAGGAGUCCCUAUCCCAACUUGGCCCCAACAUUGAGCAUCUCCCUCACAAUUUCCACCCCAGACCCUCAUAGUAACAGGAUGAGCCUAGGGAGCCCUUCCUACUCUCUUGAAUACCAUCAAUAAAGUUCGCUGCACCCAC